UCUGGAAAUUUGGAAGAUAAAUCGCUGUUUCUCGUAGAUUCAUCAUCUCUAGAUGUUAGCUGUCCGCUUCAAUGUUAUCAAACCGUCUUUUUUUUUCUUUUUUUCACGAUAAAGUCUGUCAUGUAUUCUGCUUAGUGUUCAUUAGGUUCUAUUAAUUCUUUCCAAUAUAAUUGUGCAGACGUUCUCCGCAUACAAAUGACCUUAUCCUUCCUUACGCUGUCACAUACAUAUCUAAGGAUACAUUAAUAACGCGUUAUCUAAUGUUUUAUGAGUUGUUAACGCCUGCAGUUAUUAUACGCCAACUUGGCUGGGAAAAACAAAAAUAUAUUUAUAUUGUGACGAAUUUUUCAAUCGGUAUUGUCACCGUGUUAAUUAUAUUAUUGUUAGUUCGAAAUAAAUCUUUAUCGUUGGUACAAGAUUAUUUUAUUUCUUUUAAUACAUUUUUAAAUUCGGAAGCUCUCGAAAUAUAAUUCCGGUAUGUGUUUUUUUCGAUACGGUGGUAGGCGCCCGUGGCAAAGCCAGCCGUCGUCUUCUCUUAUUUACUCGUUAGAUCCCAAUCCGUUGUCGGAAACCGUCGUUAAGCCAACCAUCCGAUUUCGUACCGGAUUAGUAUUUUACGUCGAGUUUACAUUUCUGGAAAUAUUAUAACCGCUUUUACGUCUAAUUUCGGAUUUUUGGAAAACCGUCGUAAGACGAGCCAUUCCGUUAUAGCUUUAAGCUUUCGUUCUCCAAUAUAGUGUCGCGCAAAUAACGGACAAAUAUGCCACUUAAAUAAAAUUCGACAAA